AGUCAAUUCUCAUUAUUUGUGGCAGUUAUGUUCUGUAAAGUGGCUAUGAGCAGUGAAUUAGUGAAUAUUAAACAGUUGCUCCUAGAGGAAAUACAUGUUAGAUUCCUUUGAGCCUCCAAUCAAUAUGUAACCUGUUUUAAUUGUGUUUUGUUUAAACACACCUUAUUCAAUAUGUACCUUUGACUCAUUAACAUUGAACGCAUAGCCAACAGCACUGUGACCCAUGCCCAAAUGAAGCUCCUCUUAACACAUAUAUUUUGUCCAUAAGGCACACAGCAGCCUUCUACUUAGGUUCACUUCAGCACUACACUUUGGGACCAUUUUAAACAGCAAAAUCACCAAUAUAAAGCAUAGAAAUGAGAAAAAAAAUAUGGUACACUAAAUAGACCGCAAAAGGGACACUUGUUCUCAGUCUGAGAGCUGAAAUGAAAAAGCAGAGGAUCACAUUGUUGUCCCACCUCAGCUAGGAAUGCUUGUGUUGAGUGUUGAGUGACUCAAUUUUUUUGCUGCUCUAAGAAUCCUGCAAGUGAACACAAAAGUGCCAGGAGUGUUGAUUUUAAAGUUACAAAUAAAUUUUAGCCUGCAGGGAAAUUCCAUUCAUAAGGAGGAUUGACUACAGUCUUAUUCCGGAGCAUGUUUUUACUCUUCUUCACACUUUACCCUGCUGUGGUCAGCAGCUUCUAAGAUGGUCUUCAGGGAUCCCCACCUCCUGGUCUUCAUUCCCUUGAUAACAUCCUUGGUAAUGCCAAUGCCCUUGAGUAUGUGCCAGAUUUAGUGACUCAUUUCUAAUGAAUAGAAUGUGAUAUAAGUUCAUAGAGUAUCAUUUAUAAGGUUCAAUUACAAAAAAAAACUACAGCUUCCAUCUUGGACAUUCUUUCUCUUUAGUUAGUUCGCUGGGAAGCUUGCUGCCAUGUUUUGAGCUGCCCUAUGGAGAAACCAACAUGACUAGGAAUAUGAGAGAGCCAGCGGGAAAAUGAGGCCCUCAAUACAGCAGGAAACCAAAUUCUGCCAACAACCGUAUAAAGCAACUGUUCAUCAGAGAGGUGGAGUAACUUGACCAAGUUCUCAGAUUCUAAAGACCAGGACUCCUCAUGAAUCUGUCAGCCCCCCUCAUUCCAGCUCUGGGUCUCUGUGUCACUGCCACUGCCACCUCGUCAUUAUCCUGCUUCAUACCUAUCACUGGACUAAACACCUUACAGUCUUUAUCACAUUUAAUUUUUUCAACUAUACCAAGAGGUAAGUAUCACUCCACAUCUAACAUGACUUGCCUGAGGCUUUAAGAACUAAGUGACUUGUCCAAGGUUGUUGUAAAUACUAAGUGCUGAUUUUGACCAUUUUUUUAAAUUUGUAAAUCCCAAGCUCUUAAUAAAUUCUCUACUAACUCCUAAAUAGAUGGUUUUAAACGAGCACAAUGAGAAAAAUCACCAAAGUGAAAAGAAUAUAGAGUAACAAGUUGAAGCCUUUAAUUUCAUUGUAGGCCUAGGGAUCUAAAGCAGUGAUCACUAGGCCAGGGACAAAUGACAGUGAACAUCAGGAUCUCCUGGGGAGAUUGUUAAUAUGCACAUUCCUGGCCCCCACUCUCAGAGAUUCUAAUUUCAUAAACACAUGAGGAGACCCAGGUAUCUGUAUGUAAGCCAGCAUCCCAGAUUCUAGGACCAGUGAGAGGUACACAACUUCUGAGGUCCUACUAAAAAAAUGCUGCCAUCGGACUUGAUGUAGCUAAGAUGCUUUGGGGCAUCCACUUCUGCAUCUCAGGUCCUAUUGGAUGGCUCAGCAGCACAGCAGCUCUCACUCUGAUUCAGCACUAAUGACCUAACAGUAUGCUCUGUAGAAAGCAUAACUGCUGUACUCUAAGUUUAGCCCCAGGAGAAUGAGAGCUCUGGUUUUCUUUUCUUUUCUCUUCUUCUCUCUUCUUUUCUUUUCUUUCUCAGUUCUUGGCAUGUCUAUGCAUACCAAAUGAGUGAAUUUUAUCAGAAACUUUUAAUAUCAUAAUGCGGCCCUUUGAAGCCCUGCUAGGACUUUGGGGAAAAGAGAAGGGGCUCAUUUGAAUUUGAACCUUCAGUAAUCUCACUAAUACAAAUAAGCAAGGGAUGACUACGUAGCACAUUCACAGUUGGUAUUUAUGAGAAUGUGGAAGUUAAAGCAGGCUUUUCAUACGUGAAUUUUUUUUCUUUUGGUGAUUUAGGCACUCACAUCUCUACCCCAGCAGCAGCAUCUUAGAGGCAGUGAGAACUCUGUCUUAGAAGACGGCCUUCAGCCCUGGGUUGAAAAGAGGAGUCUAGAACACCUUUCAAAUGGAACAUUGGGACUGCAGGUUGUACAGCUCACUAUCCGCCUAGGCUGAUGUCCUUGGGUGUUCCUUGACCACAGAGGAGAGGACAGGAGUGGCUCCUCUUUAGGAAGCAGGGGUAAGUUUCCAGAGGAUUCCUUCCAACAUGCUGUUUCCCAUAAGUUCACUUUCACACGCUCCCUUAUUUCCUAAACUGAAACUGUGACAUUGUGCCAACUCGGCUGUAGGCAGCACAAAGCGAACAACAAAGCACAACCAAUGGGACAGAUGAUGAGAGCUGGGGAUCCCUAACACUGGGGACUUAGUGGUGAAAAUCCCGGAUCUUUUUCCACUGGACUAAGCUUGAGGUAUAUGUCUACGUGUCCAAGGGGCUUAUCGAAAAUGGUGACUGGAAGAUCCUUCCUUUCUAGGCACUUAAAAUGUCUGAAUUUUGCUUCCUUAUCAGCAAAACAAGCACAGGUAAAUGGAAAGUAAAUGUUAAGCUGCAUAAAGAACCAACAGAAUUAAAUAUAGAUGAGUGACCUAAUUCUAGCAUCCUCACCCCUGACUUUCUGCUUCAUUUCUUUUAAGUUUCCUUAUGAGGCUACCACUUUAUCUGCACAAGAAAGACUUUGGUUAAUGACUUUGGACUCCUUUGGGUCUUCUGACCUUGGAGCAGCCAGGAAAUAGAUUUGUGUUCACAAAAGAGAGGAUCAAGAAGAAAUAAAAGCAGGAAACUGGGAAUUGGAGUGUCCAUUGAGAAACAUACCCUCUGUCAUUUUUGGAAGGCUCGUUGUUUAAGUUUGGAAGUCUAAGGCCAUCGGUGGAUUAUAUUACGUUUGCUGCAUGGCUUUGGGAUAAUAAGUGGAAACCCACAAAUGAUGGGCUUUCCAAAUGACUCAAAUUUAUUAUAAAAUUAUUGGACAUAACAAAAGAUUGUUCAACAUGAAACGAUCUAAUCUGAUUAAACCAAACUUUUUCUUAAGAUAUACCACAACAUAGGCACAUACACAUUCAUUUGGGAGAGAAGAGGCCACAGCACCCCAAUCUUUAUACAGGGUACUGUGAUGACUUAUGUGGGUGUGGCUUGAAGUUCUGAAUGCUCUCUCGCUCAGAAGUCACCUCGACCAGUGCUGAGGAUGGGAUCUUGGAUGAGGGCCAGAGUUCCCAGUCCAAGACUACAUCUUCAAGGAGCAGGACAGUGGAAGCAAGUGUCAUGAAGCCAUGCACGCUCACGGCUCUUAUACUCAGUAAACCAUCCUGGAUAUGACCAGCAUGCAUGCUGGCUCUACCACCCCCACCCAUCAGGCUGUAGACUUUACAUUUACACAAAUCAGGCAAUCGUAAUAUGUUGAUCCUGAUACUAUCCAGUGGUACUCACUGGGACAUUGGCAGCUCUACUGGAUUGAUAUGAUAAAGUAUCAUGGGGCUCAGAGUCAUAAUUGAACAUAUACACCAUACUGUAUAGAGGUCAUGGGUCAAAUUGAGUCAAAAAAUUAUUUUUUCACUACUUUCAUGUUGUUUUUGCCCUCACAGUGGGUUGGUUGGUUUGCUUGUUUCUGACAUUCACAUUUUAAAACAAUGAAAUUUUACAUGACAAUGCAAUUUCUGGUUUCGUGUGUGUGCAUGUUUUUUAAACAGAGGAUAUAGGUUUCCUAGGCCAUCAUUAUCACACACCAAACAGGAGCAGACAUUUGCUUUCCAUUUGGCUCCUGUUUCUACCUGGCACAGUGUUCUGUCCCUGCAGGCGUGUCACUCUGCCACCUUGAUUUGGAAGCCUAGAUUCUCCUACAGUCUCAGGUCCAGACUGGUGAUAUCCAAGAUUCCAUUUAAGGAAGGACCUUCCCAGUGACCUUCUCUACCCUUUCCAGAUGGUAGAUCUGUGUCUGUGGCAGGACUUGACAUACCAUGGAGAGACUAUGAAGAGAUCCCACAACUUCCUUAAUAUGAGGGCACAAGUGUUAGAAUGCCCCAUGAGUAAAGGGGAAAUGUCUUAGUCUAUUUGUGUUUUAGACAAAAUACUUUAGACUUGGUAAUUUAUAAACAAUAGACAUGUAUUGCUUACAGUUCUGGAGGCUGGGAAGUCCAAGAUCAAAACACCAGCAUAUUCAGUGCUUGGGAAGGCCCUAUUCCUCAUUGGUGGCACCUUCUAUGUGUCCUUAUAUGAUGGAAGGGCACAGCAGCUCUCUGGGGCUCUUCAAUAAGGGCACUAAUCUCAUUCAUGAGUACAGAGCCCUCAUGACCUAAUUACCUCCCAAAGGCCCUGCCUUCUAAUAUUAUUAGCUUGGUGAUUAGAUUUUACUCUAUGAAUUUUAGGGGGACACAACAUUCAGACAAUGGCAGGAGGGGAAACCUCAGCUUUUCUUUUUCUUUUUCGAGACAGAGCCUUGCUCUGUCACCCAGGAUGGAAUGCAAUGGUACGA